CUGAUAAUAUAUUAAAGGGCUGCAGUAUUUUGACUGUACAAAGGUAGCAUAAUCAAUAGUCUCUUAAUUGGUGACUUGUAUGAAAGAUUGGAUGAAAUAUAAACUGUCUCUUAUUUAUAAAAAGAAUUUAAUUUUUUGAUUAAAAAGUCAAAAUAAAUUUAAAAGACGAGAAGACCCUAUAGAGUUUUAUAUUUAAAUUUAUUGAGAUUAUAUUUUAGUUUAAUAAUUAAAAUUAAUUUAAAUAUUUUGUUGGGGUGAUAAAAAAAUAUAAAUAACUUUUUUUAAUAUGUUAUCAUAAAUAAAUGAAUAAAUGAUCCAGAAAUUUUGAUUAAAAGAAAAAAUUACCUUAGGGAUAACAGCGUAAUUUUUUUUUUUAGUUCAAAUAAGAAAAAGAGUUUGCGACCUCGAUGUUGGAUUAAGAUAAAAUUUAUAUGCAAAAGUAUAAAAUUUUGAUCUGUUCGAUC
rnacentral:rRNA from 1 species